AAAUAGAACUUUGCAGAGAGAGUUAACAGGGCGUGAAACCGUUAAUUGGCAAACGAAUCGGAGCCACGAAGUCGUUUCGCAGUUGAGUCGGGGUUAAGUUCAGCAAUUGUAGCCUCAAAAACUGCAAUUGUGUACUCUUAGUCCGGCCAUCUUUGUAAGCGUACACUGCAACUAGUUAGACGAUUGGUUAUGGGCCCAGUUGUUUCAGCAGUAGCGCGACGGUGUUUCGGCGCCGCUGUGUUGCUUGGUGCAUUCAAGUGAACUAUAACCAAAUACUGACUAGCGAAAUGAAAAUCGUCCCCUAGUGGGCGUUAGAGACAAAGCAACUUGUUGGACGGGCGUCUACGCAGCUGACUGUUGGGCUCAAGCUUGGCGCUUUUGAAUUUAGACUUGCUUGCUAUCAGUGGGGCAACUCCUGGUGCUUGUAUAGCUUCUAUCUAAUCGGGCGUCGACUUAGUUUAGCAUCGUUCAGUUGCGCAUCGAUCGGGCGCUCGUUCAAGCGAGCUCGCAAUUUGAAUUGGCAGUGAGUAGGUCGGCUUUCCGAACGACCCGUCUUGAAACACGGACCAAGGAGUCUAAUUAGGCAUCAAGUCGAUCGGUCUUGAAUAGGCCAGACGGGGGUGCCUACCCCGAUUGAAGGCGUAGAGACGUGUGAUCGUUGUGGCAACUACAGCCGCUUCGCGCAACAUGUGCCUGUUCGUGUAGUUGUGUAGCAAUAACAACUGAGCGGAGCAGAGAGAUGCCUGAUUGGGACCCGAAAGAUGGUGAUGCUUGGGCAAAUUGAAGCCAGAGGAAACUCUGGUGGAGGAUUUAGCUGACGUGCAAAUCGAUCGUCAGACCUGAGUAUAGGGGCGAAAGACUAAUCGAACCAUC
rnacentral:rRNA from 1 species